AUUGAACGCUGGCGGAAUGCUUUACACAUGCAAGUCGAACGGCAGCACGGGCUUCGGUCUGGUGGCGAGUGGCGAACGGGUGAGUAAUAUAUCGGAACGUGCCCAGUCGUGGGGGAUAACGUAGCGAAAGCUACGCUAAUACCGCAUACGAUCUACGGAUGAAAGCGGGGGAUCGCAAGACCUCGCGCGAUUGGAGCGGCCGAUAUCAGAUUAGGUAGUUGGUGAGGUAAAGGCUCACCAAGCCGACGAUCUGUAGCUGGUCUGAGAGGACGACCAGCCACACUGGGACUGAGACACGGCCCAGACUCCUACGGGAUGCAGCAGUGGGGAAUUUUGGACAAUGGACGCAAGUCUGAUCCAGCCAUUCCGCGUGCAGGACGAAGGCCUUCGGGUUGUAAACUGCCUUUGUACAGAACGAAAAGGUCUCUAUUAAUACUAGGGGCUCAUGACGGUACUGUAAGAAUAAGCACCGGCUAACUACGUGCCAGCAGCCGCCGUAA
rnacentral:rRNA from 1 species